AGCCAUAUGUGCGGUAUGCAACCAUGUAUUCAACACACAGCUCUAACAGCUCCAGUGAGGGUUGGCUGUGCUGGGAGUUUCAGGUUGUGGCUGAUUUUCAUCAACAGGUUCUGGGCGCCUCAUUAGAACAGACGGAAGAAUCAGGGGGUGGAGAAUUCGGGGAACUGUUGCAAGGGAAACUGAUUCAGGCUUUACAAUAAUCCCAAACACCUUCAGCAAUGUCAGAGGCCCUCCUGCUGCAGGAACAGGUAUGAGGAUUGUUCACUCCACGCCCAACACAUAUUGGUUCUUCAGUUUGGCUCAUAGAAAUAUUCCUCAAGAAAAAGGCAAGGAAAGGAAAUUCACUUCAGAAGGUGACGUAGCCCCUCAGGAAGCACUUCUGCCAACUGGAAGAUCUCCGGUCCCAAGUAUUCUGGAUAAUGGAGCCGAUUCGUAGAGCCAGACUAUCUAUAAGGAAGCCAAGAAUCCACUGACUGAUACUGGACUCAGCUGAUUAAAGGAGUAGUCAUACCAAUUCCACCCCCCAGUUCAGGUAUGUCCCAGCCGGGCUAUGAG